GAUGAACGCUAGCGAUAGGCUUAACACAUGCAAGUCGAGGGGCAGCACAAGGUAGCUUGCUAUCUGGGUGGCGACCGGCGCACGGGUGCGUAACGCGUAUGCAACUUGCCCUAUACAGGAGGAUAACCCGUCGAAAGACGGACUAAUACUGCGUAUGCUCACAACUUGGCAUCAAGUGGUGAGGAAAGAAAUUCGGUAUAGGAUAGGCAUGCGUCCCAUUAGCUUGUUGGUGAGGUAACGGCUCACCAAGGCAACGAUGGGUAGGGGAACUGAGAGGUUUAUCCCCCACACUGGUACUGAGACACGGACCAGACUCCUACGGGAGGCAGCAGUGAGGAAUAUUGGUCAAUGGGCGCGAGCCUGAACCAGCCAAGUCGCGUGAAGGAGGACUGUCUUAUGGAUUGUAAACUUCUUUUAUACGGGAAUAACAAGAGUCAUGUGUGACUCCCUGCAUGUACCGUAUGAAUAAGCAUCGGCUAACUCCGUG
rnacentral:rRNA from 1 species